GCUCAGUUGGUAGAGCAUGGUGUUUGCAACGCCAGGGUUGUGGGUUCAAUUCCCAC
rnacentral:tRNA from 1 species